AUCGAACGCUGGCGACAUGCUUUACACAUGCAAGUCGAACGGUAACAGGGAGCUUGCUCCGCUGACGAGUGGCGAACGGGUGAGUAAUAUAUCGGAACGUACCCAGAAGUGGGGGAUAACGUAGCGAAAGUUACGCUAAUACCGCAUACGAUCCACGGAUGAAAGUAGGGGACCUUCGGGCCUUAUGCUUUUGGAGCGGCCGAUAUCUGAUUAGCUAGUUGGUGAGGUAAAGGCUCACCAAGGCGACGAUCAGUAGCUGGUCUGAGAGGACGACCAGCCACAUUGGAACUGAGACACGGUCCAGACUCCUACGGGAGGCAGCAGUGGGGAAUUUUGGACAAUGGGCGCAAGCCUGAUCCAGCAAUGCCGCGUGAGUGAAGAAGGCCUUCGGGUUGUAAAGCUCUUUUGUCAGGGAAGAAACGGCUGUGGCUAAUAUCCACGGCUAAUGACGGUACCUGAAGAAUAAGCACCGGCUAACUACGUGCCAGCAGCCGCGGUAA
rnacentral:rRNA from 1 species